GACGAACCGUGCGAACGUUGUUCGGAAUCACUGGGCUUAAAGGGCGCGUAGGCGGGCCGCCGCGUCCGGGGUGAAAUCCUCCCGCUCAACGGGAGAGCGGCCUCGGAUACGGGCGGCCUGGAGGCGGGUAGGGGCACGCGGAACUGUGGGUGGAGCGGUGAAAUGCGCAGAUAUCGGGAGGAACACCAAUGGCGAAGGCAGCUCGCUGGGACGGUACUGACGCUGAGACGCGAAAGCGUGGGGAGCAAACGGG
rnacentral:rRNA from 1 species